UGUAACUUUGAAGACAUCUUGUUCUGACCUCAUUCACUACAGAACGCCACAGUGUAAGAACACACUAUGUAGGAGCUUGAAGAUGGAUUAUUGCCUUUUUCCAUGUUCUGAAACCAUUUAAUUUAGAUUGUACUUCCUUUUCCUUGGAGCAAGAUGGCAUCUGCAACUGCUACUGGUACUGGUUCAAGAAAACAAAGAAGGAUCCCUAUUGUGUGCAGAUUUUGCAUAAAGAACCAGGAAAACAUAUCUAUACAUCUCACCAGAGUGUGCAUGAAGACAGAAUCAA